CGCAGGCGGUCGUUCAAGUCGCGUGUGAAAGCCCCCGGCUCAACUGGGGAGGGUCACGCGAUACUGAUCGACUGGAAGGCAGGAGAGGGUAGUGGAAUUCCCGGUGUAGUGGUGAAAUGCGUAGAUAUCGGGAGGAACACCAGUGGCGAAGGCGACUACCUGGCCUGUUCUUGACGCUGAGGCGCGAAAGCUAGGGGAGCAAACG
rnacentral:rRNA from 1 species